AAUUUAUUUGAUUAAGAUUGAUUCUGUCUUUUUGAAUUGGCUUUUAAAUAAUAUUAAAUAUAAGUUUUUGCGUGUUAUUCAUUUAUCUAAAGGAUAAAUUUGUUUAUUUGUAGUUUUUUAUUUUGAGUAUUAUAUGAUUAUAGACUCAGUUAAUUUAUUUUAGAAUUGUUUAAGGUUGUGCCAGCAUACGCGGUUACACAUCCAAUUCAGGUUAAUUUUUUUUGGUUUUUAUUUAUUUUUAAUUUUGAAAUUUAAGGUUUUGUUAUAAAGUGAAAUUUUUAAUUUAUUUUAUUCUUUUUGGUUUAAGAUAAUAAGAAAUUUAGAAUUGAAACCAGGAUUAGAUACCCUGUUAUUCUAAAUGUAAAAUAUAACCAUAGUAUUAAUAGUUAUGAUCUUUAAAUUAAAAGGAUUUGGCGGUAAUUUAGUCUUUUCAGAGGAACCUGUUCUUUAAUCGAUGAUCCACGUUGGAUUUAACUUUAAUUUUUGGUUUGUAUAUCUCUGUCAUUGAAUGUUUUAUUAGAAUAAAUUUUCUUAAAUUAUUAAUUUAAUUAAUGUCAGGUCAAGGUGCAGCUAUAUAGAUCGGAAGAGCA
rnacentral:rRNA from 1 species